CAGGGUCUAACGACUGCCCAAACCAAACCGUGAACUUUUCCACACAAACAUAUGCUUCGGCGGGCCGCUCGCUGGGGGAGCCCCGGGCCGCUUUGUCGGUGGUCCGCCGGAAGCAUGCAAACAAAACUACUCUGAAAACUGCUCUGAGAAAACUAUUUCUUUAUGAAAAAUAAUUA
rnacentral:misc_RNA from 1 species